rnacentral:scRNA from 1 species
GUGUUGACCGGGACGCCAGCACGCCAGCCCCC